AAGUCGAGGGGAAACGACAUCGAAAGCUUGCUUUUGAUGGGCGUCGACCGGCGCACGGGUGAGUAACGCGUAUCCAACCUGCCCAUCACUUGGGGAUAACCUUGCGAAAGUAAGACUAAUACCCAAUGAUAUCUCUAGAAGACAUCUGAAAGAGAUUAAAGAUUUAUCGGUGAUGGAUGGGGAUGCGUCUGAUUAGCUUGUUGGCGGGGUAACGGCUCACCAAGGCGACGAUCAGUAGGGGUUCUGAGAGGAAGGUCCCCCACAUUGGAACUGAGACACGGUCCAAACUCCUACGGGAGGCAGCAGUGAGGAAUAUUGGUCAAUGGACGAGAGUCUGAACCAGCCAAGUAGCGUGCAGGAUGACGGCCCUAUGGGUUGUAAACUGCUUUUAUAAGGGAAUAAAGUGAGUCUCGUGAGACUUUUUGCAUGUACCUUAUGAAUAAGGACCGGCUAAUUCCGUGCCAGCAGCCGCGGUAAUACGGAAGGUCCGGGCGUUAUCCGGAUUUAUUGGGUUUAAAGGGAGCGUAGGCCGGAGAUUAAGCGUGUUGUGAAAUGUAGACGCUCAACGUCUGCACUGCAGCGCGAACUGUUUUCCUUGAGUACGCACAAAGUGGGCGGAAUUCGUGGUGUAGCGGUGAAAUGCUUAGAUAUCACGAAGAACUCCGAUUGCGAAGGCAGCUCACUGGAGCGCAACUGACGCUGAAGCUCGAAAGUGCGGGUAUCGAGCAGGAUUAGAUACCCUGGUAGUCCGCACGGUAAACGAUGGAUGCCCGCUGUUGGUCUGAAUAGGUCAGCGGCCAAGCGAAAGCAUUAAGCAUCCCACCUGGGGAGUACGCCGGCAACGGUGAAACUCAAAGGAAUUGACGGAAGGGCGAAUUC
rnacentral:rRNA from 1 species